CCUACGGGUGGCAGCAGUGAGGAAUAUUGGUCAAUGGACGAGAGUCUGAACCAGCCAAGUAGCGUGAAGGAUGACUGCCCUAUGGGUUGUAAACUUCUUUUAUAUGGGAAUAAAGUGCAGUAUGUAUACUGCUUUGCAUGUACCUUAUGAAUAAGGAUCGGCUAACUCCGUGCCAGCAGCCGCGGUAAUACGGAGGAUCCGAGCGUUAUCCGGAUUUAUUGGGUUUAAAGGGAGCGUAGGUGGAUUGUUAAGUCAGUUGUGAAAGUUUGCGGCUCAACCGUAAAAUUGCAGUUGAAACUGGCAGUCUUGAGUACAGUAGAGGUGGGCGGAAUUCGUGGUGUAGCGGUGAAAUGCUUAGAUAUCACGAAGAACUCCGAUUGCGAAGGCAGCUCACUGGACUGCAACUGACACUGAGGCUCGAAAGUGUGGGUAUCAAAC
rnacentral:rRNA from 1 species